GAUGAACGCUGGCGGCGUGCUUAACACAUGCAAGUCGAACGGAAAGGCCCAAGCUUGCUUGGGUACUCGAGUGGCGAACGGGUGAGUAACACGUGGGUGAUCUGCCCUGCACUUCGGGAUAAGCCUUGGAAACUGGGUCUAAUACCGGAUAGGACCACUUCUUGGGUGUUGUGGUGGAAAGUUUUUUCGGUGUGGGAUGAGCUCGCGGCCUAUCAGCUUGUUUGUGGGGUAAUGGCCUACCAAGGCGUCGACGGGUAGCCGGCCUGAGAGGGUGUACGGCCACAUUGGGACUGAGAGACGGCCCAGACUCCUACGGGAGGCAGCAGUGGGGAAUAUUGCACAAUGGGCGCAAGCCUGAUGCAGCAACGCCGCGUGGGGGAUGACGGCCUUCGGGUUGUAAACUCCUUUCGCUAGGGACGAAGCGUUUUGUGACGGUACCUGGAGAAGAAGCACCGGCUAACUACGUG
rnacentral:rRNA from 1 species